rnacentral:rRNA from 1 species
UAUGUAGGGGGCAAGCGUUGUCCGGAAUCACUGGGCGUAAAGCGCGCGCAGGCGGUCAUCUACGUCUGGGGUGAAAGCCCGGAGCUCAACUCCGGGAUUGCCUUGGAUACGGGAUGACUUGAGGAUCGGAGAGGCAAGGGGAAUUCCACGUGUAGCGGUGAAAUGCGUAGAGAUGUGGAGGAACACCUGUGGCGAAGGCGCCUUGCUGGCCGAUUUCUGACGCUGAGGCGCGAAAGCGUGGGGAGCAAACAGG